GAUGAACGCUGGCGGCGUGCCUAAUACAUGCAAGUCAAGCGAACAGACGAGGAGCUUGCUCCUCUGACGUUAGCGGCGGACGGGUGAGUAACACGUGGAUAACCUACCUAUAAGACUGGGAUAACUUCGGGAAACCGGAGCUAAUACCGGAUAAUAUAUUGAACCGCAUGGUUCAAUAGUGAAAGACGGUUUUGCUGUCACUUAUAGAUGGAUCCGCGCCGCAUUAGCUAGUUGGUAAGGUAACGGCUUACCAAGGCAACGAUGCGUAGCCGACCUGAGAGGGUGAUCGGCCACACUGGAACUGAGACACGGUCCAGACUCCUACGGGAGGCAGCAGUAGGGAAUCUUCCGCAAAGGGCGAAAGCCUGACGGAGCAACGCCGCGUGAGUGAUGAAGGUCUUCGGAUCGUAAAACUCUGUUAUUAGGGAAGAACAAAUGUGUAAGUAACUAUGCACGUCUUGACGGUACCUAAUCAGAAAGCCACGGCUAACUACGUG
rnacentral:rRNA from 1 species